CCUCCAACGGUUUUCAUUACGACGUCACUUCCUUCCGCUCGUCGGCGCCUGAUUUUAGCGUUUUUUUAAUUAGCCUAAUUUGGCACACCUGUGAUACAUGGAAACAAUGAGGACGUUAUUGGGUAGAUUCCACUACACUUUAAACAGGCCGAGAGGACUUCAUAUAAUAACUGACAAUAUGACGCUGUCGCACCGGUAAUCCCCCCCCCACCUCUGCUCCAUCACAAGGAUUGUUCCUGUGGAUGUCAACGUCUGGACAUUGUUUUGACCUCAUCUCUUCCUCACAUCAGAC